rnacentral:misc_RNA from 1 species
UAUUUUUUAUAUUUACACGUUUCCAUUUCCUAUAUUUUCGAAAAUGUCGCCGUUUCGGCGUUUCCCCAUGUCCGUGUUUCCGUGUCCAUGCUACAUAGGUGUUGCUUGAUAACCUGAUUAAGCACUAAAAUAAAAUUUUUAAUACCUCUUUUUUUGCAUCAGUUAAUAACAUUUUCUUUUAUCACCACUUAAUUUUUAAAACCACCUAACACAAUAAAGUAAAACACUACUUAAUAAUGAAGUAUCAUCAUCACUGUCACUAUAUUGUUAUCAACCAUUACUGGUUUACAACAAUGAUCACCAUCUUCAGGACCAUCAACAGCACUGCACCUCACAACUAUGAUCACAAACUAUGAAGCACAGAAACAUGACCCAAGCAAGGUUUCUGCGUUUCCAAAAACCGUUUCGGGAACGAGGGGAAAGAGAUUCAAAAUGUUUCAGGCCCAUUGCCAUAGGAAAUGUGUUUCUCUUGUCAAAAAAAAAAAAAAUCACAAAAGUUGGAAAAAAAAAAAAGGAGAUCAGUCUCUCGUCUCUUGCCUCCCUUUCUCCAUUCAUGCUUUUCCUUCUCCUUUCUUUGCAUGGCAAGCUUCUCCAGGUAUUGAUCUUCCAAUUGACAUGAAUGAGAGGUAUUUCUAUGGUGGAAAUUAGAAACAUAAGAGAGAAGAAAAGAAGGGAUUGGAGAAUAGAGCGAGAAGGGAGGCUUGGCAGGAAUUGGAGAGAACAAAAAAAUGCACAUGGGGUCUAAUUCUAAUAAUUUCGUUAGAUUGAUGAUAUGGGACGGGAACUGGGGAAGUGCAUGAGGGAAACAACUGGCUAACAUGCAUACCCAAAGAUUGAAACCCAAAAUGACAAACCUAGAAAAUGUCUUCUUCCUUAGUAAUAUCAUAUAUUACUUAUAUUUGCCUAUAUGAUUAAGAUUUUUUUCAAUGUCAUCUUGAAUAAAUAUUUAUUUAUUUCUGGUGAUAUUUAAUUAAUAAAAAUUUUUUAAACAAUACAAAGAAUUAAAAUUAUAAAUAUUUUUAUAUUUUUGUGUUUCCCCCCAUGUUUUCGUUUCCUAUACUUUUAGAAAAUGUUACUUCCUUGUGUCUGUUUCUAUUUUCUACAUUUCUGUGCUACAUAAAUCCCAACUAUCAACAUCGAUAUGGCUGUUUGAUCACCGUCUCCAUUAUCUUAACGAUGUUAUUUAUUUGUUUAGAAAUUAAGUUAUUGUAUUUGAAUAACAUAAUAAAUUCAGAACUGAUAGUCUAGUUAUAAAAUCUCAGCAUUUAAAUUUAAGUACUGAUAAUUCAGUUGCAAUUCAUCUCUGAAGUUAUUACUAAAUUAUUGAGAUCUCUAAUUUUUAGCACUUAAUUAUCAGCUUUAUCAAACAUUAUUAUGACCUAAACUUAAAUAAAAUAGAAAUAAAUGCUUUAGCACUUUGCCACUCUAGCUAGAGCAACAACAAUCAGGUUAAAAGGAAAUUUGUAAAUAGCAGUUAUAACUGGUCCAUAUAUUCUACCAAAUAACCUAUGCAAUCCCCCUCCCCCAGUAAAGUUAAUAAUUCCAAAAUUGUAGACAAAAUUCUAAGGGAAAAAGCCUACUGCAACCAGUACAACUAAGGAAACCAACGAACUAUUGGAUGGUUUUAAAUGGUCAAACCAACACCCCACACCCACCUUUUUCUUUUUUUUUUUGGCAGAAGACAAUUCUAAAUACACCAACUACACAGCACAUCAAAAUAGUAAACUAGGAAAGCAAACUUUUCAACCAACUUGCAUGAUUAUUCUUAAAAUCUAGAAAUUAGAAAUAUUUAAUGCACCAGUGUGGGAUGCAUCGUGCAUUGGGUCAGUGGUCACCCCUUAUCAUUUUUGGAAGGGUUAGGGGGUCCAAAAAUGUAAAAAAUAACCACACUUGCCUCUUCCAGAAGAAAUUAAUGACUUCAAAAAACUUAAGAAUGUUCACAAUUGCUCAUGAGAUUUCCUCUACCUGCUAAAAAGGGGAUUCAGCCCCCUUAAAUGCAAGUGCAUUCGACUUGUAAGAAUAGAAAAAUUUGCAGCUUCUGUCACCUCCCUACUUUUGUCAAUAGAAACAGCCCUCUUAGCAAUUCUCCUCUAGAACCAAAUGCCUUGACUUCCCACCUAGAAUGUCUCCUUUCCUCCCUCCCCCAAAACAAAGCAAUGAUACUGUGAACUUAUGGUAUUGACAUAUAAUUAUAAUGGAAAUUGAGCAUCCCUAUGGAUUCAAACACAGCAACCUCAUAAUUUGAUGAACUCGCAUUUUGUCUACUCAAUCAAGCAGUAAAUGGCAUGCCGCAAGCCCGCAACUGAUAUAUGUGUGUGUGUGUGUGUG